rnacentral:rRNA from 1 species
AUACGUAGGGGGCGAGCGUUGUCCGGAAUUAUUGGGCGUAAAGGGUUCGCAGGCGGUCUGAUAAGUCAGAUGUGAAAGGCAAUGGCUCAACCAUUGUAAGCAUUUGAAACUGUCAGACUUGAGUUAAGGAGAGGAAAGUGGAAUUCCUAGUGUAGCGGUGAAAUGCGUAGAUAUUAGGAGGAAUACCAGUGGCGAAGGCGACUUUCUGGACUUAUACUGACGCUGAGGAACGAAAGCGUGGGGAGCAAACAGGAUUAGAUACCCUGGUAGUCCACGCCGUAAACGAUGAGUGCUAGGUGUUGGGGGUCAAACCUCGGUGCCGCAGCUAACGCAUUAAGCACUCCGCCUGGGGAGUACGUACGCAAGUAUGAAACUCAAAUGAAUUGGCGGGG